rnacentral:rRNA from 1 species
AUUGAACGCUGGCGGAAUGCUUUACACAUGCAAGUCGAGCGGCAGCGCGGGGCAACCUGGCGGCGAGCGGCGAACGGGUGAGUAAUGCAUCGGAACAUGUCCAAGUCGUGGGGGAUAGCCCGGCGAAAGCCGGAUUAAUACCGCAUAAGCCCGGGAGGGGAAAGCAGGGGACCGCAAGGCCUUGCGCGAUUGGGUUGGCCGAUGUCCGAUUAGCUAGUUGGUGAGGUAAAGGCUUACCAAGGCGAUGAUCGGUAGCUGGUCUGAGAGGAUGAUCAGCCACACUGGGACUGAGACACGGCCCAGACUCCUACGGGAGGCAGCAGUGGGGAAUUUUGGACAAUGGGGGCAACCCUGAUCCAGCCAUUCCGCGUGAGUGAAGAAGGCCUUCGGGUUGUAAAGCUCUUUUGUCCGGAGCGAAACGGCACGGGUGAAUAUCCCGUGCUACUGACGGUACCGGAAGAAUAAGCACCGGCUAACUACGUGCCAGCCGCCGCAGUAAUAC